rnacentral:rRNA from 1 species
UACGUAGGGUGCAAGCGUUGUCCGGAAUUAUUGGGCGUAAAGAGCUCGUAGGUGGCCUGUCGCGUCGGCUGUGAAAACUCGGGGCUCAACUCCGAGCUUGCAGUCGAUACGGGCAGGCUAGAGUUCGGUAGGGGAGACUGGAAUUCCUGGUGUAGCGGUGAAAUGCGCAGAUAUCAGGAGGAACACCGGUGGCGAAGGCGGGUCUCUGGGCCGUAACUGACGCUGAGGAGCGAAAGCAUGGGGAGCGAACAGG